UAUAUUUGCAACGUAGAUGGUUCAAUUGGGAACUCUCAAUUGAUUAAAAGGGAAUCCGGUGAGAAUCCGGAACAGUACCCGCUGCUGUAAUCUACUUGAUGUUUUAUCUUCGGAUAGCAUCACAGUUUGCAGAGAAACCACUGGUAGAUGCCUGAAACGUAAAGACGUUCGAGACGAGGCUAUCUCUGGGAAGGAUGCAAAUGGAGUGUAGAGAGUCAGAAGACCUGCCUUUUACGACUGAUGGAC
rnacentral:ncRNA from 2 species